rnacentral:rRNA from 1 species
AUACGAAGGGGGCUAGCGUUGCUCGGAAUCACUGGGCGUAAAGCGCACGUAGGCGGGUCCUUAAGUCGGGGGUGAAAUCCUGGAGCUCAACUCCAGAACUGCCUUCGAUACUGAGGAUCUCGAGUCCGGGAGAGGUGAGUGGAACUCCGAGUGUAGAGGUGAAAUUCGUAGAUAUUCGGAAGAACACCAGUGGCGAAGGCGGCUCACUGGCCCGGUACUGACGCUGAGGUGCAAAAGCGUGGGAAGCAAACAGG